rnacentral:rRNA from 1 species
GACGAACGCUGGCGGCGUGCCUAAUACAUGCAAGUAGAACGCACAGUUUAUACCGUAGCUUGCUACACCAUAGACUGUGAGUUGCGAACGGGUGAGUAACGCGUAGGUAACCUGCCUGGUAGCGGGGGAUAACUAUUGGAAACGAUAGCUAAUACCGCAUAAUAUUAAUUAUUGCAUGAUAAUUAAUUGAAAGGUGCAAUUGCACCACUACCAGAUGGACCUGCGUUGUAUUAGCUAGUAGGUGAGGUAACGGCUCACCUAGGCGACGAUACAUAGCCGACCGGAGAGGGUGAGCGGCCACACUGGGACUGAGACACGGCCCAGACUCCUACGGGAGGCAGCAGUAGGGAAUCUUCGGCAAUGGACGAAAGUCUGACCGAGCAACGCCGCGUGAGUGAAGAAGGUUUUCGGAUCGUAAAGCUCUGUUGUAAGAGAAGAACGGGUGUGAGAGUGGAAAGUUCACACUGUGACGGUAUCUUACCAGAAAGGGACGGUUAACUACGUG